UACGGAGGGUGCGAGCGUUGUCCGGAAUCAUUGGGCGUAAAGGGCGCGUAGGCGGCUUCUCAAGCGUGCGGUGAAAGUCAGGGGCUCAACCCCUGAUCGGCCGUGCGAACUGGGGGGCUGGAGCACUGUAGAGGCAGGCGGAAUUCCGGGUGUAGCGGUGGAAUGCGCAGAUAUCAGGAGGAACACCGGUGGCGAAGGCGGUUCUCUGGGCAUGAUCUGACGCUGAGGAGCGAAAGUGUGGGGAGCGAACAGG
rnacentral:rRNA from 1 species